rnacentral:rRNA from 1 species
AGUGAACGCUGGCGGUAGGCCUAACACAUGCAAGUCGAACGGCAGCACAGUAAGAGCUUGCUCUUACGGGUGGCGAGUGGCGGACGGGUGAGGAAUACAUCGGAAUCUACUUUUUCGUGGGGGAUAACGUAGGGAAACUUACGCUAAUACCGCAUACGACCUACGGGUGAAAGCAGGGGAUCUUCGGACCUUGCGCGAUUGAAUGAGCCGAUGUCGGAUUAGCUAGUUGGCGGGGUAAAGGCCCACCAAGGCGACGAUCCGUAGCUGGUCUGAGAGGAUGAUCAGCCACACUGGAACUGAGCCACGGUCCAGACUACGACGGGAGGCAGCAGUGGGGAAUAUUGGAAAAUGGGCGCAAGCCUGAUCCAGCCAUACCGCGUCGGUGAAGAAGGCCUUCGGGUUGUAAAGCACUUGUGUUGGGAAAGAAAAGCAGCAGGUUAAUACCCCGCUGUUCUGACGGUACCCAAAGAAUAAUCACCGGCUAACUUCGUG